rnacentral:rRNA from 1 species
UACGUAGGGAGCAAGCGUUGUCCGGAAUUAUUGGGCGUAAAGAGCUCGUAGGCGGUUUGUCGCGUCUGCUGUGAAAACCUAAGGCUCAACCUUGGGCUUGCAGUGGGUACGGGCAGACUAGAGUGCGGUAGGGGUGACUGGAAUUCCUGGUGUAGCGGUGGAAUGCGCAGAUAUCAGGAGGAACACCGAUGGCGAAGGCAGGUCACUGGGCCGCAACUGACGCUGAGGAGCGAAAGCGUGGGGAGCGAACAGG